rnacentral:rRNA from 1 species
UACGGAGGAUGCGAGCGUUAUCCGGAUUUAUUGGGUUUAAAGGGUGCGUAGGCGGACGCUUAAGUCAGCGGUAAAAUAGCGGGGCUCAACCUCGUCGAGCCGUUGAAACUGGGUGCCUUGAGUGGGCGAGAAGUACGCGGAAUGCGUGGUGUAGCGGUGAAAUGCAUAGAUAUCACGCAGAACUCCGAUUGCGAAGGCAGCGUACCGGCGCCCAACUGACGCUGAAGCACGAAGGCGUGGGUAUCGAACAGG